GGGUUGUGAGGUUAAGCGACUAAGCGUACACGGUGGAUGCCCUGGCAGUCAGAGGCGAUGAAGGACGUGCUAAUCUGCGAUAAGCGUCGGUAAGGUGAUAUGAACCGUUAUAACCGGCGAUUUCCGAAUGGGGAAACCCAGUGUGAUUCGUCACACUAUCAUUAACUGAAUCCAUAGGUUAAUGAGGCGAACCGGGGGAACUGAAACAUCUAAGUACCCCGAGGAAAAGAAAUCAACCGAGAUUCCCCCAGUAGCGGCGAGCGAACGGGGAGGAGCCCAGAGCCUGAAUCAGUGUGUGUGUUAGUGGAAGCGUCUGGAAAGGCGCGCGAUACAGGGUGACAGCCCCGUACACAAAAAUGCACAUAUUGUGAGCUCGAUGAGUAGGGCGGGACACGUGGUAUCCUGUCUGAAUAUGGGGGGACCAUCCUCCAAGGCUAAAUACUCCUGACUGACCGAUAGUGAACCAGUACCGUGAGGGAAAGGCGAAAAGAACCCCGGCGAGGGGAGUGAAAAAGAACCUGAAACCGUGUACGUACAAGCAGUGGGAGCACGCUUCGGCGUGUGACUGCGUACCUUUUGUAUAAUGGGUCAGCGACUUAUAUUCUGUAGCAAGGUUAACCGAAUAGGGGAGCCGAAGGGAAACCGAGUCUUAACUGGGCGUUAAGUUGCAGGGUAUAGACCCGAAACCCGGUGAUCUAGCCAUGGGCAGGUUGAAGGUUGGGUAACACUAACUGGAGGACCGAACCGACUAAUGUUGAAAAAUUAGCGGAUGACUUGUGGCUGGGGGUGAAAGGCCAAUCAAACCGGGAGAUAGCUGGUUCUCCCCGAAAGCUAUUUAGGUAGCGCCUCGUGAAUUCAUCUCCGGGGGUAGAGCACUGUUUCGGCAAGGGGGUCAUCCCGACUUACCAACCCGAUGCAAACUGCGAAUACCGGAGAAUGUUAUCACGGGAGACACACGGCGGGUGCUAACGUCCGUCGUGAAGAGGGAAACAACCCAGACCGCCAGCUAAGGUCCCAAAGUCAUGGUUAAGUGGGAAACGAUGUGGGAAGGCCCAGACAGCCAGGAUGUUGGCUUAGAAGCAGCCAUCAUUUAAAGAAAGCGUAAUAGCUCACUGGUCGAGUCGGCCUGCGCGGAAGAUGUAACGGGGCUAAACCAUGCACCGAAGCUGCGGCAGCGACACUGUGUGUUGUUGGGUAGGGGAGCGUUCUGUAAGCCUGUGAAGGUGUACUGUGAGGUAUGCUGGAGGUAUCAGAAGUGCGAAUGCUGACAUAAGUAACGAUAAAGCGGGUGAAAAGCCCGCUCGCCGGAAGACCAAGGGUUCCUGUCCAACGUUAAUCGGGGCAGGGUGAGUCGACCCCUAAGGCGAGGCCGAAAGGCGUAGUCGAUGGGAAACAGGUUAAUAUUCCUGUACUUGGUGUUACUGCGAAGGGGGGACGGAGAAGGCUAUGUUGGCCGGGCGACGGUUGUCCCGGUUUAAGCGUGUAGGCUGGUUUUCCAGGCAAAUCCGGAAAAUCAAGGCUGAGGCGUGAUGACGAGGCACUACGGUGCUGAAGCAACAAAUGCCCUGCUUCCAGGAAAAGCCUCUAAGCAUCAGGUAACAUCAAAUCGUACCCCAAACCGACACAGGUGGUCAGGUAGAGAAUACCAAGGCGCUUGAGAGAACUCGGGUGAAGGAACUAGGCAAAAUGGUGCCGUAACUUCGGGAGAAGGCACGCUGAUAUGUAGGUGAAGUCCCUCGCGGAUGGAGCUGAAAUCAGUCGAAGAUACCAGCUGGCUGCAACUGUUUAUUAAAAACACAGCACUGUGCAAACACGAAAGUGGACGUAUACGGUGUGACGCCUGCCCGGUGCCGGAAGGUUAAUUGAUGGGGUCAGCGCAAGCGAAGCUCUUGAUCGAAGCCCCGGUAAACGGCGGCCGUAACUAUAACGGUCCUAAGGUAGCGAAAUUCCUUGUCGGGUAAGUUCCGACCUGCACGAAUGGCGUAAUGAUGGCCAGGCUGUCUCCACCCGAGACUCAGUGAAAUUGAACUCGCUGUGAAGAUGCAGUGUACCCGCGGCAAGACGGAAAGACCCCGUGAACCUUUACUAUAGCUUGACACUGAACAUUGAGCCUUGAUGUGUAGGAUAGGUGGGAGGCUUAGAAGUGUGGACGCCAGUCUGCAUGGAGCCGACCUUGAAAUACCACCCUUUAAUGUUUGAUGUUCUAACGUGGACCCGUGAUCCGGGUUGCGGACAGUGUCUGGUGGGUAGUUUGACUGGGGCGGUCUCCUCCUAAAGAGUAACGGAGGAGCACGAAGGUUGGCUAAUCCUGGUCGGACAUCAGGAGGUUAGUGCAAUGGCAUAAGCCAGCUUGACUGCGAGCGUGACGGCGCGAGCAGGUGCGAAAGCAGGUCAUAGUGAUCCGGUGGUUCUGAAUGGAAGGGCCAUCGCUCAACGGAUAAAAGGUACUCCGGGGAUAACAGGCUGAUACCGCCCAAGAGUUCAUAUCGACGGCGGUGUUUGGCACCUCGAUGUCGGCUCAUCACAUCCUGGGGCUGAAGUAGGUCCCAAGGGUAUGGCUGUUCGCCAUUUAAAGUGGUACGCGAGCUGGGUUUAGAACGUCGUGAGACAGUUCGGUCCCUAUCUGCCGUGGGCGCUGGAGAACUGAGGGGGGCUGCUCCUAGUACGAGAGGACCGGAGUGGACGCAUCACUGGUGUUCGGGUUGUCAUGCCAAUGGCACUGCCCGGUAGCUAAAUGCGGAAGAGAUAAGUGCUGAAAGCAUCUAAGCACGAAACUUGCCCCGAGAUGAGUUCUCCCUGACUCCCUGAGAGUCCUGAAGGAACGUUGAAGACGACGACGUUGAUAGGCCGGGUGUGUAAGCGCAGCGAUGCGUUGAGCUAACCGGUACUAAUGAACCGUGAGGCUUAACCUUACAACGCCGAAGCUGUU
rnacentral:rRNA from 1 species